rnacentral:tRNA from 1 species
UGCAUCGGCCGGGAAUCGAACCCGGGCCGCCCGCGUGGCUGGCGAGCAUUCUACCACAGAACCACCGAUGG